AAAAAAAAAGAUUAUAUAAUUAUUGCCAAAUUAAAUUCAAAAGAAUAACCUCAUCCCACAAAGAAUCAAGAAUUACAAUUGUUCUCCAAAGCUUCAAACUUUCCCUAUUCCCAGGCCCGAACUUACCAUUAUUUAAACUUUAACUUUUGACUUACUAUACUUCCGAAUUCAGAGCGCUGAGGUCAGCUACUUGCAUUUUCCUGUGAAGUUCUAAUGAUAAAUGACAUGGGCAAAGCUGCCAGGCAGUGGCCAGAAAUAAUUAAGUUAACCCUUAACUCAGUAGUUUUGCUCAUUAGCUUUCUGCUUCUGUUCAUUGCACACAAUGACUCUCCUGAGUCCCAGUGUUUUGACUUAGCUUUACUAAUGUAUAAUUUUAUGCAUUCUAUACUUUAUCUAGGAGCCACUCUCAAAUGUUGUACAAAACUUAUAACUUUAAUAGUUUUUUCCUAGCCGGGCAGUGGUGGUGCAUGACUUUAAUCCCAGCACUUGGGGGGCAGAGGUAGGCGGAUUUCUGAGUUUGAGGCCAGCCUGGUCUACAGAGUGAGUUCCAGGACAGCCAGGACUACACAGAGAAACCCUGUCUCAAAAAAACAAAAACAAACAAAAAAAUAGUUUUUUCCUUUCUCAGGGUCCCAGUGUUGGCUCUAUUUCAUUUUUUAAUAAUUUCUUCAAACCCUUUUAGCAAGUCAAACAUUAAUCUGAAACUACCAUUGUGCAAUUAUUGCAUUGUUUCCAAGCUGAGAGUGCACAGCAUGUACCUGGGCCAUGAGGACUGUACUGUGCUGUGCCCUUAUGCCUUGAUUUUUAAUUGUUUAAGAAUCAUUGCAUCAGGGAACAUCUAGUUUCACAGAAUUCACAAAAGCAGUAGGAGAAAGAAGUAGGAAAGUCAGAUAUAAUAGAAUAAUUAUGUACAUCAGGACCAACUGAAAAGCAGUCAUGUACAAAUGAAAUCUAUACAGCCAUUGUCGGGGCUAAGGUUAGGAGAAAUGGGAACAACUGGUUUUUUUCACAAAGAGUUGCCGAAAGCUACUGAGAUGUCUCCAUCCCGGCCUACUGCAGGCAAUUGCUUAUUUUAGAUGGUGGGUCCCCUGCAGGGAUGUGUCUCCUGCUUCUCGGGAUCCAGAUGCCAUCUUUUUAUAAGGAGCAGCCAUGGGCUUCUGAGAUGUUUCCAUUCCAGCCUACUGCAGGCAGUCCCUGUCACCCCAGCACACAUGUAGAGGUAUACAUGUCCACACAUAGGUGUACCUACACAUACAAACAUAUAAAUACAUUUUUUAAAAGUAGUGGAGGCUGGAAAGACGGUUUAGUGGUUAAGAGCAUUUGUUGAUCUUUCAGAGGACCCAAAUUCAAUUCCCAGCAUCAGUGCGGUGACUAACAACUAGAACUCUAGUACUGGGGGAUCUCUCACCCUCUUCUGGCCUUGUAGGCACCAGACACACACAUGGUACACACCCAUACAUAUAAAUAAAUCUAAAAAUAAUUAAAAUAAGUAUUUUAUUUUGUUUGUUUUGGGGGGAGGUAUUUGGUUUGUGUUAAGUAAAACCAUAGCAUCUCUGUCACUGGCAGUUGCAGAAUGAAUUCUUGACUGCUUUGCUUCUUUGUGUGACUCUGAUUAUUCAGAAUUCUCAGGGCUACAUCUCACCCACUAAGCUGGUGCACGGGGCUAGUUGCCAGGAGUUCCUGAGGAAGCAAAUACCUGGCUCUUAUGUUUCCCAAAUGAGAAGUAGUCUCAUGAGAUCUUCACUGGGUGAAAUUCCCUGAGCUCUGAAAGGAGAUUCAGUAGUGGACAGGAGAAGAGGCAUAAAGAUAUGAGAAUCUCGGGCUUGAAGAGAAGGCUCGGCAGUUAAGGACAUUUGCUGCUCUUCCAGAGGCCCAGAGUUUGGUUCCCAGCACCCAUACUGGUUGGCUCACAACCUCUCUGGCCCCCUGAGGAUUCUUUGCCCUCUUUUGGCCUCUACAGGCACUCACAAAUGUGUGUAUACACACACUCAUACACGUUCAUAAAAACUUUUAAUUCUAAAACAACAAAUAAUGGGUGGAGGGUGGUUCAGUAAUUAGACGCACUCGCCUCCACGUCUGAGGACUGCGCUGAACACUAGAACUCACAUGGUAGGAAGAGAGAACCAAUUCCUGCAGGUUGUCCUCCGAUCUCCACAUUAGCCAAGGUACAUGCAUACAC
rnacentral:lncRNA from 1 species